rnacentral:rRNA from 1 species
AUGGGAAGCUUGCGAGGCGGAAGCGGCGGAGAAGGGCGGAACGAGGACGGAGGGAAAGUCGGGCUACCGGCGUUGGAGGUGGCGCUCGCGUUCCCGCAGGCCACGCCGGCGUCCCUGUUCCCGCCCGCCGUGUCGGACUACUACCAGCUAGAUGAUUUGCUGACCAAUGAAGAGAAGGCGCUUAGGAAGAAAGUCCGUGCUAUUUCAGAGAAAGAAAUCGCACCCAUUAUGACCGAAUACUGGGAGAAGGCAGAAUUCCCAUUUCAUGCCAUUCCGAAACUUGCAACUCUUGGCUUAGCUGGAAGUACAACGAAGGGAUAUGGUUGCCCAGGGCUCUCGCUUACAGCGAGUGCCGUUUCUAUAGCAGAAGUUGCACGGGUUGAUGCAAGCUGCUCCACAUUUAUUCUAGUGCACUCCUCUUUGGCAAUGUCCACAAUUGCUCUUUGUGGAUCAGAGGCUCAAAAGCAGAAGUACUUACCAUCGUUAGCUCAGUUUAAAACUGUUGGUUGCUGGGCUUUAACAGAGCCAGAUUAUGGAAGUGAUGCAAGCUCCUUGAAAACUUCAGCAACCAAGGUACCUGGCGGUUGGCAAUUAGAUGGCCAAAAGCGCUGGAUAGGUAACAGCACGUUUGCAGAUGUGCUUGUAAUUUUAGCUAGGAAUGCAGACACAAAGCAACUAAAUGGAUUCAUUGUGAAGAAGGGGGCGCCUGGUUUGAGAGCCACAAAAAUUCAAAACAAAAUUGGACUUAGAAUGGUUCAGAAUGGCGAUAUCCUUCUGAAUAAAGUAUUUGUCCCAGAAGAAGACAGAUUAACAGGCAUCAAUUCAUUUCAGGAUAUAAGCAAGGUCCUAGCAAUGUCACGUAUUAUGGUGGCUUGGCAGCCAAUUGGCAUAUCGAUGGGCGUCUACGACAUGUGCCAUCGGUAUUUGAAAGAAAGGAAGCAGUUUGGAGCUCCCCUGGCAGCCUUUCAGCUCAACCAAGAAAAGCUUGUUCGGAUGCUUGGUAACAUCCAGGCCAUGCUUCUUGUCGGCUGGCGCUUGUGCAAGCUCUAUGAGUCAGGCAAAAUGACACCAGGUCAUGCUAGUUUGGGCAAGGCAUGGACGUCCAGCAAGUCAAGGGAGGUAGUUUCUCUGGGUCGAGAGCUAUUGGGCGGCAAUGGAAUUUUGGCUGAUUUUCUAGUAGCGAAGGCGUUCUGCGAUCUGGAGCCGAUUUACUCGUAUGAGGGCACCUAUGACAUCAACAGCCUGGUGACCGGAAGAGAAAUCACCGGGAUCGCGAGCUUCAAACCUGCUGCAGUAGCGAAAUCUCGGCUGUAA